AAAGUCGUAACAAGGUCUCCGUUGGUGAACCAGCGGAGGGAUCAUUACUGAGUACUACACUCUCUACCCUUUGUGAACUAUUAUACCUGUUUGCUUCGGCGGCGCCCGCAAGGGUGCCGCCGCCGGUCUCAUCAGAAUCUCUGUUUUCGAACCCGACGAUACUUCUGAGUGUUCUUUAGCGAACUGUCAAAAACUUUUAACAACGGAUCUCUUGGCUCCAGCAUCGGAUGAAAGAACGCAGCGAAACGCCCGAUAUGUAAUGUGAAUUGCAGAAUUCAGUGAAUCAUCGAAUCUUUGAACGCCACAUGGCCGCCUUCCAGUAUCCUGGGAGGCAUGCCUGUCCGAAGCGUCGUUUCAAACCCUCGAGCCCCUGUGGCCCGGCGUUGGGGAUCUGCCACGCAGGCCCCUAAAACCAGUGGCGGACCCCGAAGGGGCCCUCUCCUUUGCGGCAGUAGCAUUCGCCUCGCAUCGGGAGUCCUCGGGGCGUCCUGCCUCUAAACCCCCCACAAGCCCGCUUCCGGCGGCACCAGGUUGACCUCGGAUCAGGUAGGAAUACCCGCUUGAACUUAAA
rnacentral:rRNA from 1 species